rnacentral:rRNA from 1 species
ACACGUAGGAGGCGAACGUUAUCCGGAUUUACUGGGCGUAAAGCGCGUGUAGGUGGUUCUGUAAGUAGGGCGUGAAAGCUCCUGGCUCAACUGGGAGAGGCCGUUCUAAACUGCAGGACUAGAGGAUGGUAGAGGGAGGUGGAAUUCCAGGUGUAGCGGUGGAAUGCGCAGAUAUCUGGAGGAACACCGAUGGCGAAGGCAAGCUCCUGGCCGAUGACUGACGCUGAGGUGCGAAAGUGUGGGGAUC